GCAUAUCAAUAAGCGGAGGAAAAGAAACCAACAGGGAUUGCCUCAGUAACGGCGAGUGAAGCGGCAACAGCUCAAAUUUGAAAUCUGGCCGCAAGGUCCGAGUUGUAAUUUGUAGAGGAUGCUUUUGGCGAGGUGCCUUCCGAGUUCCCUGGAACGGGACGCCAUAGAGGGUGAGAGCCCCGUACGGUAGGACCACCGAGCCUCUGUAAAGCUCCUUCGACGAGUCGAGUAGUUUGGGAAUGCUGCUCUAAAUGGGAGGUGUACGUCUUCUAAAGCUAAAUACCGGCCAGAGACCGAUAGCGCACAAGUAGAGUGAUCGAAAGAUGAAAAGCACUUUGAAAAGAGGGUUAAAAAGUACGUGAAAUUGUUGAAAGGGAAGCAUUCAUGACCAGACUUGGGCUUGGUUGAACAUCCGGCGUUCUCGCCGGUGCACUCUGCCAGUUCAGGCCAGCAUCAGUUUGCUCCGGGGGACAAAGGCGGUGGGAAUGUGGCUCCCCUCGGGGAGUGUUAUAGCCCGCCGUGUAAUGCCCUGGAGCGGACUGAGGAACGCGCUUCGGCACGG
rnacentral:sRNA from 1 species